rnacentral:rRNA from 1 species
AUACAACAGCUGUCAUUUAUUCGGAAAAUCCUUAAUGGAUAACUGCGGUAAUUCUGGAGCUAAUACAUAUGCAUAAACCCUGACUCUAUGAAAGGGUGCAAUUAUUAGAGCAAAUCAAUCAUUUUCGGAUGUAGUUUGCUGACUCUGAAUAACGCAGCAUAUCGGCGGCUUGUUCGCCGAUAUUCCGAAAAAGUGUCUGCCCUAUCAACCUGAUGGUAGUCUAUUAGUCUACCAUGGUUAUUACGGGUAACGGAGAAUAAGGGUUCGACUCCGGAGAGGGAGCCUUAGAAACGGCUACCACAUCCAAGGAAGGCAGCAGGCGCGAAACUUAUCCAAUCUUGAAUAGAUGAGAUAGUGACUAAAAAUAAAAAGACCAUUCCUAUGGAACGGUCAUUUCAAUGAGUUGAUCAUAAACCUUUUUUCGAGUAUCAAGUGGAGGGCAAGUCUGGUGCCAGCAGCCGCGGUAAUUCCAGCUCCACUAGUGUAAAUCGUCAUUGCUGCGGUUAAAAAGCUCGUAGUUGGAUCUGAGUCGCAUGCAAUGAUUCGCCUUUGGCGUUAAUCAUUGUUGUGACUAUUUGCUGGUUUUCUAUUGAAAUUUCGAUUUCUAUAGUGGCUAGCGAGUUUACUUUGAAUAAAUUAAAGUGCUCAGAACAAGCGUUUGCUUGAAUGGUCGAUCAUGGAAUAAUAAAAGAGGACUUCGGUUCUAUUUAUUGGUUCAGGAACUGAAAUAAUGGUUAAGAGGGACAAUUCGGGGGCAUUCGUAUCCCUGCGCGAGAGGUGAAAUUCGUGGACCGCAGGGGGACGCCCUAAAGCGAAAGCAUUUGCCAAGAAUGUCUUCAUUAAUCAAGAACGAAAGUCA